rnacentral:misc_RNA from 1 species
UUUUUUGUUAUGAUUUUUGUUACAUUCUUCAACUCAUGUUUAUGAAUGAAAAGACGAGGAGCCGCCGAAGCUUUUCCAAGUCUUUAUAAAUAGUGCACAGGGUAGAAAGUGGAGGUCAGGCCUCUCUACGACCUCUCCAGUUAAGGAAGAGGCGAGAGAGCACCCUAAAAUUCACUAAUGAUCCUUCCGCAGGUUCACCUACGGAAA